AGCGAACGCUAGCGGAUGGCUUAACACAUGCAAGUCGAGCGGGCAGCUUCGGCUGUCUAGCGGCGAACGGGUGCGUAACACGUGGGUAAUCUGCCUUCUGGUGGGGGAUAACCCGACGAAAGUCGGGCUAAUACCGCAUAUGGCCUACGGGUCAAAGCAGCAAUGCGCCAGUUGAUGAGCCCGCGGCCCAUUAUUUAAUCCUAGUUGGCGGGGUAACGGCCCACCAAGGGUACGAUGGGUAGCUGGUCUGAGAGGACGAUCAGCCACACUGGGACUGAGACACGGCCCAGACUCCUACGGGAGGCAGCAGUGGGGAAUAUUGCGCAAUGGGCGAAAGCCUGACGCAGCCAAUCCGCGUGGGUGAUGAAGGCCUUCGGUUGUAAGCCUGUCGUGAGGGACGAAGUU
rnacentral:rRNA from 1 species